GAUUGUACAUCAAGAUGGUGAUUCAUUAAAGAAGGACCUUUCAAAGAUAGUUGCUGGCUGUAUGUCUGAUGAAGCUAUUGGGUCAGUGACGUGGCUAGUGAUACAACAUCCUCUAAUAGCUCCUUGAGAGUCAGUAUCACUGUCUGUAAGAACUGCACUAGAACCCAUGGGCCUAGAGCCAGGGAUUACAGGGUCUGAAGCAAACAGUACUUCCUCAUUGCCACCAGCUGCCCACAGAGGAGUAUCACCAAGAAGUACUGAGAUGUUAAGCUCUGCAGGAUGUCUCGCCAUAAGGCACAUGAGCAACAGUCCUGAUUCUGUGAUUGGCUGGCACUCUCCAUAUAAACCAGGAAGUCACUUCUGGAAGUUGUGUGAGCAAUGCAGACCUCUGGUGUGCUUCUGCCUGAGAUGCCAAUCCCUGCUGCAACUCGCCUGGAUCCUGGAUACUUGACCUUGGCCCAGCCUUUGACCCUGAUCUUGGUUUACUAUCUUCAACUUAGGGCCAUUGCUGACGCUGGUGGAAGACCUUGGCCAGCCUAACCCCUAUUCUCGCCUCAGGCUCUCAAUUGGGUAAUGGACUCUGACUCUGAAGUUUUGACCUGGCCAGUCCCUGGACUGACCUUCGACUCUUCAGCCCAGACACUGAGCAUUUCACCCUGCACACAAGCCACCUAUGAUCCAGCCCUGGCUACUUGGCAAAAACAUGUUUUCUUUUUACCUAUUUUAAGAGAAGAAAUGAAUGAGAAAAUUAUUUCCUUCUUUUCUACUGAAAAAGUUAGUACUGCUUUAUUUACCAAAUGUCUGUUGUCUCAAGACAUUCAUCAUGAACUAACAUCAUGAACUGGAUACCAACAAACCAAGUGCAGCACAUUUCCAAGUAACAUUAACAAAUACAUGUUUAAAGCUCCAAGUUAUAUUAUUAUUUUAAGUUUCAGAGAGGAUCUGUAUUGUGCGUAUGUGUUUUGAAUAAAUUACAGAUCUGAAGUGUAUCAUAUUCUGUAUUCAGUAUAUGAUGGUCAAAACAUAGAUGGAAACUAUGAUGUUCUUCUU